rnacentral:rRNA from 1 species
AUUGAACGCUGGCGGCAGGCCUAACACAUGCAAGUCGAACGAGUGGCGGACGGGUGAGUAAUGUCUGGGAAACUGCCCUGUCGAGGGGGAUAACGACUGGAAACGGACGCUAAUACCGCAUACCAUCGUAUGAGCCGAUAUCGGAUUAGCUAGUUGGUGGGGUAAAGGCCUACCUAGGCGACGAUCCCUAACUGGUCUGAGAGGAUGACCAGCCACACUGGAACUGAGACACGGUCCAGACUCCUACGGGAGGCAGCAGUGGGGAAUAUUGGACAAUGGGCGAAAGCCUGAUCCAGCCAUGCCGCGUGUAUGAAGAAGGCCUUCGGAUUGUAAAGCACUUUAAGCUGGGAGGCGUUACCAGAAGAAGAAGCACCGGCUAACUACGUGCCAGCAGCCGCGGUAAUUC